rnacentral:rRNA from 1 species
UGGGGAAUAUUGCACAAUGGGCGCAAGCCUGAUGCAGCAACGCCGCGUGAGGGAUGACGGCCUUCGGGUUGUAAACCUCUUUUUAGUAGGGAAGAAGCGAAAAGUGACGGUACCUGCAGAAAAAACGCACCGGCUAACUACGUGCCAGCAGCCGCGGUAAUACGUAGGGUGCGAGCGUUGUCCGGAAUUAUUGGGCGUAAAGAGCUCGUAGGCGGUCUGUCGCGUCUGCUGUGAAAACCCCGAGGCUCAACCUCGGGCCUGCAGUGGGUACGGGCAGACUAGAGUGCGGUAGGGGAGAAUGGAAUUCCUGGUGUAGCGGUGGAAUGCGCAGAUAUCAGGAGGAACACCGAUGGCGAAGGCAGUUCUCUGGGCCGUAACUGACGCUGAGGAGCGAAAGCGUGGGGAGCGAACAGGAUUAGAUACCCUGGUAGUCCACGCCGUAAACGUUGGGCGCUAGAUGUGGGGCACCAUUCCACGGUUUCCGUGUCGCAGCUAACGCAUUAAGCGCCCCGCCUGGGGAGUACGGCCGCAAGGCUAAAA